AAAAAAAAUGCAGGCUGGGCAGAGUGGUUUCUCUGUUACUUAAUGAGCUAAUUUUGUUUGUUUAACUAAAGUUUGGUAACCAUUCAUACCUCAGGGCUGCAAUUUGGUAGAAAAUUGGAAUCUGAUGGAAACUGAAAACUUUGACAGACCUUUCAGUCCUCAUUCCACAUUGAUCUGCUCUACAUUCAAAGACUGACUUUCACACCUGUAAGACAAAAUAGUUUAUGUAAGAAGCUAUAUUUGCUCAUUCUGCUUGCCAGCAGAAUGUCAGAGAAUUCUUUGGCAGCUACAUUUCACAAAUCCCCUAACUCAGUGACUAAGUGCAGCCCCUGGAAGAAUGCCCCUGAAGAUGAUAACAUCUCUUGCAUGAAUCUUUUCUUGCAAAAGUUCCAGGAUCCUAACUCAUGCCUCUUCCUGUACAUAAUAAGAUAAUAGCUGAUAGGAUUAAUGAUUAUGCCUCUACAAUCUAUAACCAGAUGUACCCUUGAACCCCACCCUUGAUGAGAUUUUGCUCUAAUGUAACUGCUGAGCUCAUUUGAUGUAACUGCUGAGCACAUCUGAUGCCACUUCCCAUCACAUGCCACCACCUGUACCUAAGCUUUGGAGCAGUCUCACAGAAAGUCUCUGAAAGACUCUCCGGAUUGCAAUCCUUAGUAAGACAUCUG
rnacentral:lncRNA from 10 species